AUACGGAGGGUGCAAGCGUUACUCGGAAUCACUGGGCGUAAAGGACGCGUAGGCGGAUUGGAAAGUCAGAUGUGAAAUCCUACAGCUUAACUGUAGAACUGCAUUUGAAACUUCUAAUCUAGAGUAUGGGAGGGGGUGAUGGAAUUAGUGGUGUAGGGGUAAAAUCCGUAGAUAUCACUAGGAAUACCGAAAGCGAAGGCGAUCUCCUGGAACAUAACUGACGCUAAGGCGUGAAAGCGUGGGGAGCAAACGGGAUUAGAUACCCGAGUAGUCC
rnacentral:rRNA from 1 species